CAGUAGCCGCGGGAAUACAGAGGGUGCGAGCGUUAAUCGGAUUUACUGGGCGUAAAGCGUGCGUAGGCGGCUUCUUAAGUCGGAUGUGAAAUCCCUGAGCUUAACUUAUGAAUUGCAUUCGAUACUGGGAAGCUAGAGUAUGGGAGAGGAUGGUAGAAUUCCAGGUGUAGCGGUGAAAUGCGUAGAGAUCUGGAGGAAUACCGAUGGCGAAGGCAGCCAUCUGGCCUAAUACUGACGCUGAGGUACGAAAGCAUGGGGAGCAAACAGGAUUAGAGACCCCUGUAGUCCCUGUCUCUUAUAC
rnacentral:rRNA from 1 species